UACAGAGGUCCCAAGCGUUGUUCGGAUUUACUGGGCGUAAAGGGUCCGUAGGCGGUUUGGUAAGUCAGUGGUGAAAGCCCAUCGCUCAACGGUGGAACGGCCAUUGAUACUGCCAGACUUGAAUUAUUAGGAAGUAACUAGAAUAUGUAGUGUAGCGGUGAAAUGCUUAGAGAUUACAUGGAAUACCAAUUGCGAAGGCAGGUUACUACUAAUGGAUUGACGCUGAUGGACGAAAGCGUGGGUAGCGAACAGG
rnacentral:rRNA from 1 species